AUUGAACGCUGGCGGCAUGCUUUACACAUGCAAGUCGAACGGUAACAGGGUGCUUGCACCGCUGACGAGUGGCGAACGGGUGAGUAAUGCGUCGGAACGUGCCGAGUAGUGGGGGAUAACGCAGCGAAAGUUGUGCUAAUACCGCAUACGUACUGAGGUAGAAAGUGGGGGACCUUCGGGCCUCACGCUAUUCGAGCGGCCGACGUCUGAUUAGCUAGUAGGUGAGGUAAAGGCUCACCUAGGCGACGAUCAGUAGCGGGUCUGAGAGGAUGAUCCGCCAGACUGGGACUGAGACACGGCCCAGACUCCUACGGGAGGCAGCAGUGGGGAAUUUUGGACAAUGGGCGAAAGCCUGAUCCAGCCAUGCCGCGUGUCUGAAGAAGGCCUUCGGGUUGUAAAGGACUUUUGUCAGGGAGGAAAUCCCUAGUGCUAAUAACACUGGGGGAUGACAGUACCUGAAGAAUAAGCACCGGCUAACUGCGUGCCAGCAGCCGCGGUAA
rnacentral:rRNA from 1 species